UACGUAGGGGGCAAGCGUUGUCCGGAAUCAUUGGGCGUAAAGCGCGUGUAGGCGGCUCGGUAAGUCUGCUGUGAAAGUCCAGGGCUCAACCCUGGGAUGCCGGUGGAUACUGUCGAGCUCGAGUCCGGAAGAGGCGAGUGGAAUUCCUGGUGUAGCGGUGAAAUGCGCAGAUAUCAGGAGGAACACCAAUGGCGAAGGCGGGUCACUGGCUCAUACUGGACGCUGAGGUGCGAAAGCGUGGGGAGCAAACAGG
rnacentral:rRNA from 1 species